rnacentral:lncRNA from 1 species
GUCGGCAAAACAUUUAAGUGGAGAAACGAGAAUGUAAAGUUCCGGUUGUGGCAACUUGAUCAGAACGAACUAAGUAAGUGGCAAGACAUUUGCACGCAUGCCACAACCAGUUCCCCUGUCCUCUUUCUGGCUUGUCAGUCAGUUGGUUGGGUACGUUCCGUUUCCUUACAAGUUUUCCCCCUGCCUGAGACAGCCAACAAUUUUUUCAAUUUGUGUGUAAUUCUUACUUAGGCAGCGGCGGCGGCGCCUCGCACUCGUACUCGUGUGAGCUCCUCGCUGCUUGGCGACAGUUUCCUAAAGUGACGUUGACAAGCAGAGCAGGUCGUCCCCGUCACACUGAUGUCUGCUACUGCUGCUACUGCUACUGUCAGCCACGUAUGAAGGGAGCCCUAGAUCCUCCUGUCCAAGGGUUUUGUGUUGCCCAAAGUCUAGAGUCUAGACCAUGCUGUGAAGCACUUUUCUCUCCACAAAAGUUUCAUUUGUCGUCUGCCAGGCAUUCAGAUACUCGUACACACUCGAACUUUAUACACUUUCAAUUCAUUAAACUUUAAAUUUAAAGUGACAUUGUGAUGAAAGGGAUAUUCCCGAGUACGAGUACGAGUAGAU